rnacentral:tRNA from 2 species
UUAGGUUUUUAGAAAGCUGCUAACUUUUUAAUAGUAUAAAACUACUUAAA